rnacentral:sRNA from 1 species
AGAAACUGCCUUUCAGGCAUCCUCUCCCAAACUUUCAAAGGCUCGGCCGGCAACGGUCGGGCCCUUUUUUUUUGCGUG